UGCGACUCUAGACAUUGCUUACAUGCUACAAUGUACCUUUAAUGGUAAAUAUUAAAUUUUUAAAAAACUUGCCAAGUAAAAAAUGUGAGAUGGAAGCAACAUUGAAACUUAAUGCCAACUUUUCUGAUGUUGUGCAGAUUAAUUUUAAUUUUCCGGUGACUAACAAUUUUAUGAACUUAAAAGCCUACACUAAAACCUAUCUAGUACAAAUGUAUGAACCCUCCCCUAAUUGCAUCCCUUGUGACCAUGAGUUAAGUACUGGUCUCUUCACUUAUUGCCCUUAAUAUAUUUUAGUACUUUCCUCGUGUCACUUGUUUUUAAAAAAUGUGCUUCUCCCUUGAACAAAGGGUUUCUUUUCGCAUAUUUUUUCUCAGGAACUAUUCAGAUGAAGAUGGCGAGUGCUCGUAUGGGAGGGCAGGUGGGCCUGCAACAGGGUGUGUGCGCAUCCCGCAGAGUUCAACUCACUUGCCUUGUCUAUACUUCCACAUUUUGCAUACACGCAUACUAGCAUAGUUGCAAUUUAAAACAUCUGGCAAAAAUUCGCUUUCAGGGAUGCGUGGAGGAUAUAGCACCCAUUUUGGGCACAGAUAAUGGAUAAUACUGGCUAUGGUUGUGGAAUUGGGCUUUACGCCUACCAAUUGUAUUUGCUUUGAAUACCAUAGGCACCAGAAGGACAACCUUCUAUCCAUUCCCUUGUCCCCCUCUAAUGGAACAGUGGAAUGCUGGUGUAAAACACGAUCAUGCAAGUUUUGGGAUGGUAGAAUGUUGCAGGAAGCCUGCAAUCGAUCAUUUUGACCACAUUCCAGAUGAAUUCAUCACUUGCAUUUUGUCUAAACUCAGCUCCACUUCAUGCCAUUCUAGAGACUUCAGUAGAGCUUUUCUGGUAUGCCGAAAACACGGAGGCCUGUUACACCGUUGGAAUGGAUGUGAUUGGACUUCUUUCAACUUGUGCAAGUGCUUCUGCUGUAUUGACAAGGGAAAUGAUUGAAACGGGCACCUCUAGCAUCCUUAAGGAUAUUCUUACUGCUUCUGGCAUUGUUUCACAGAUGGUCAUUACUCCGUUCACAGAUAAUCUGACUAAUAAGUUGUAUAUGAUUGUCUCCAUUGUGAAUGAGCUUCUUCCAUCAGUAUCCAAUGAGAAAAUUUCAUUUCUCAUCAAUGAUGAUACGGGCUUGAGUAUUUCUACAACAAACUUUGCCUUGAGAAUAUUGCAGAUAACUCUGCUAGAGCAAAGCUAUUUUAAGAAAACCUGAGCUUUUGGUGAAAUUUUGAAUGAAUACUUUUCGACUGAUGAUUCAGGCAACAAUUAAUAUAAAUAAAAUAUAGUUUAGCACUGACAUGAGUUUGUGUUAUAAGUAUCAAUGGUUUUGCAGAUAUAUGCUUCAAAAGAUCAAUGUGCAAUUUAGCCACCAAUGUCUGGAAGUUAUCAGCAAACUGUUGUACUUCAGCCCUCAGAAGAUGUUGAAGCAUUUAUUACAGGAACGCAACAUAUCAAGGGAGCACUAUAUCAGGGGAGGAUGAAACUCAUACGACAUGGACCUUGUAAAAAACACAAAGAAAGUGAAGCAAGUCAAAUAGAAGAAGUUUUCAAAACUCAUGCAAGGCAAUUAAGGCUACAUACUUUGCUUCAAAUUCAGGGGCUACAAAGGCUAGAGCUGCAAAUAGUUUUUAAGAGCCACAAGAAUAUUCCACCAUCCAUCUUUAUUUUAGAGGGCAGAGGAUUUGGCAAACUGUCAUGGAGAACCUAUUGUCAAAUGGACUGGAUAAAACCCAGCAGGUAAUUAUAUGGCAGAAGGGUUUUUCAAUUCUUAAAGGUAGCAAAUGGUAGGCCCGCUACCCAAUGAACUGGCCAUUUUACCCACUUCAAUAGAUCUGUUUGAUAUAUAAAAGUUGGUUUGGUUUGGUAUGCCAAUAUUGCAGAGUAUUAAUAUUGGUUUACUGGAUUUUUUGGAUUUGGUAGGCUCUACUAACUGGCUGCUCAGUAGGAGGUUUAGCAACAAUUAUUCACUUUGAUCAAUUUCGUGACCUCCUGCCAAAGAGUGCUAAAGUCAAGUGCAUGUCAGAUGCUGCAGUUUUUCUUGACAUGUAUACCCUCUAUUCAAUCCUUCUUCAUGUUGUUCACUGUUACUUUUGCUUUCCAUCUUCUUGAGUUAAAUGUGGCUGCUCCCCUCUUUCAUCGACCAUUCUUGCAUGGCCAUCAUAGCCAGAAUCAAUGUUGAUGAUACUGAAAGAUAUAUGCAACCUGCAAAAUUGAAAAGGGCUGAGAAAUCACCAUCUCGUAUUUCAGUAACUAGCAGUCAUUGUUAGUUGAUUUGUUGCGUGGAUUCUAAAAGCUACAUAUCGAUUUUUCAAAAAAGUAUCAAAUUAAUUUUCAGACUGUGACAAAUCCACAGCUGAAACACAAAAUUACAGGUGAUUGCUAUUAGUAAUUUGUGUAUAUUUUCUCAUUUAUCAAGUUUUUUGUUCUAUUCUCAAGAAUCCUGAACACAUAAUUGAUUUUGGGGUCCUCAUAUUUUUUAUACCUUCAAUCACGGUUCUUACUUUCCUUAGAGCAGCAAUUACAUAUCAUUUUGAAGGUUAAGAGUUUCACUUCAGACAGAGCAACUACACAUAUUUCAUUGCUUAGUUCAAUUUCUAUAUUUUUCAUACCAAGUCAACCAAAUUGCAUGCAUUGACCUCUUCUAAAAUAAUUUUAAUGCCAUUGACAAAUAUCUGUCUAGACUCUAACGUAUGGUUUAAAGUGUAUUCUAAUCAUAGCAACAUCCUUCUGUUAAUUUUUUUGUUUUGUUUUAAGUUGUAUAUGAUAAAGCGAAAAAGGAUGAAAUGUUGUGUUGGGUAGGAGAUCUAGAAAGGUGAGUUGAUCAAAUUGGUACAAAGCUAGCUGCCCUUUGCUCCAACAACAAAUUUUUCACUUAUUAUCGUAGUAGCCAUUGCCAUUAAAAACCAAUAUACACAAUGUCAGAUAUACUCAGACCAAUAAAACGACAUAUAGAAUUGUUUUCAAUAUAACAUAUUCAUUAUAUUAAUGGCCGAAAAUGAUUAAAAUUAAAAUAUAUGCUGAUUAGGGUUGAGGAUAGAGUCAAUUCCCAAGGCCAAAAGAAAAAAAA